rnacentral:lncRNA from 1 species
UCCAAGGAUGAUUCUUCAUGAAUGCUUAAAAUUCCUCUAGGAUUGUCUCUCAAGUUUGUUUUAUCCAUCCAUUCAAUGGUGAUAGCACAUGGAUUUUUAAUGCCCUCUAGCCAUUGAUGUUGCUCUUCUCGAUCCUCCUUGUGGUCUUGGUGACUCUUACGAAUGGGAUGUCUAGAGAGAUUCAUAGGAUCAUUGGGAGGUUCAAGAUAAAGAGCAUAGUAGAAAUUAUUAAACUCAAGGAUGGGUUGGAUAGCCGAAUCAUG